UACGUAGGGUGCGAGCGUUAAUCGGAAUUACUGGGCGUAAAGCGUGCGCAGGCGGUUGUGUAAGACAGAUGUGAAAUCCCCGGGCUUAACCUCGGGAACUGCAUUUGUGACUGCAUAGCUAGAGUACGGGCAGAGGGGGAUGGAAUUCCGCGUGGUAGCAGUGAAAUGCGUAGAUAUGACGGAGGAACACCGAUGGCGAAGGCAAUCCCCUGGGCCUGUACCUGACGCUCAUGCACGAAAGCGUGGGGAGCAAACAGGA
rnacentral:rRNA from 1 species